UAGUAACACCCAGGUUAGUCCUACUUAAUUCUUACCUGCAGCCAAAGUGGACUUAGCAUCUCCUUGCAUGCCUGGUAAAGUCAAGGGUUUUCAGCCAGGGCCUGUGUAUAAAGCAGAAGCAGCACAGAGUCUGGUUUGAAGCUUAGUGCUUGGGUUCAGACAGUUGUGGGUUACAAUCCCUUCUACACAUGUUCUCUGUGGAAACCAUUUGGUUCUCUGUGCUUGGAACUCGCCUGCAACGGGACAAAGCCAUCUCACCUAGACUGUUGUUAUGAAGAUUGAAUUAGGUGAUUCUGAGAGGCAUUUAUGCGUCCUCCCUGAGUAACAAUCCAUGAAAAGUGGGCGUCAUUGCUGAAGCUCAAGGAAGAAAUAUGAAAUUUGAUUAUAUCCUUAUUCACGGCAUUGGGUCACCAACUCAGCACUUUUUAUGAAAGUAGCAUCUGACCUGGCAAAGGCUGUGUCAUCUUAUUACCUCAGAAAGACAAAUUUACGGGGUCAGACGAUGGAUGGCUUGUAGAUUUCUCAAUGGGCUGGAAGGAAGGAGAGAAAAAGAGAGACAGGAGAGAGUACACAUUUAAUUCUGCUUCCCCUAGGGUGAUAUUUCCUUCCUCCCCUUCCAGGGUUCUCAAAAAGGCAUUCUAGGAAGUCCUGUAAAAUACAUGCUCAUAAAAAUCUCAUAAUUUCCACAAAUUGUUGAGAAUUUAAAACUCGGUUGGGAGUUUGCUGUUUCAGCCUGAGACACCGGGGUCACGUUUCAGUGCCUGCAGUCUUGAGACAGUACCAGGCAUCUGGGAUGAAGCUGAGGAAAGAAGAUGUGGGGGCCCUGCUGGCCUGCUCCUUCUCUCGAAAGACGCUUACCGGCUGCUGGUGUGUCACAGGGCUUUAGGAUUUGGAAAAACAGAGGGAUUUAAAAGAAGAUAGAAUGGUCAGAAUUUCGAGAACUGUGUGCUGAAGUGCCAUCUUUAGGGUGCUCAUAACACGGCCUUACAACAUUAGAGGUGCUGGAAUCAUGGAAGAGGCAUCUGGACUCUGUAAUGUCCUUCCCCCUGGAAAAUCUGCUCCAGAAGUGGGGGAUUGGGAGCUGUCAACAUAUGAGCCAUCUUUUGCUCCGUUCAAGAUGGUAGGGGCAUUCUCAACAUGCCCCUCACUCUGAUUCUGCCUCACUUUUAUUUUAGAAUUUUCCACUGCCUUUUCUGGAAUGUGCUUUUUCAACCCUCAAAAUCUGUAGAGAAGAAAUAAGCAGAAACCGAAAUGGCUUUCUGGUGUUCUCCAUGCUCUCAGCUUACUGGAAAAUCGAGCCGCAGGCUCGAGGCUGGACUUUAAGGCAGAGCACUGCAAUUAUAGUGCUAUGGCCUUGGCUUCCUUUCUCAUCACCCAGGUACAGUCCUGCAGUCCUCAGAGGAUGCCAGUCCCACACAGGGGGAUCCUUCUCCAUAGGAAAACCGAGGAACAAUGCAGGUUCGAGGUGCACAGUGGCUAAGCACACUCAGUCCUCAAGAUCUUUCCUCUCAAAUGCUAAUGCUACCUUCAGAUGGGCUGCUGCCUGCUACCAUUUCAACAUUGAGUCCUUUAAGAUGCCAUCAGAGAGAGGGGAAGCAAGAGGCCAAGAAAAAUGAAAGCUGGAAGCCCUAAAGCCACUGCAGGGUCAAGCGUCCCCAGUGCAGUGAUGGUCAUGGGGCCGUCACUACCCACUGAAAGCUGGGAGAGGACAGCCCUGGCGGGGUCUGCAGUGAUGGUCACAGGGCCGUCACUACCCACUGAAAGCUGGGAGAGGACAGCCCUGGCGGGGUCAACUCCCCCCCGAUGCAGUGAUGGUCACGGGGCCGUCACUACCCACUGAAAGCUGGGGGAAGACAGCCCUGGCGGGGCCAAGGAGCUUGCAGUGUCCCAUCAACCCUCCUGGAGAGAUGCCUGAGACCCGGUUUUACCUAUGAGUCUGGCCUCAGGACAGGAAAGAUGGGGACACGCACAGCUGAGGCAAGAGCCAUGACAGGGCAUCUGCUGUCAGCCACAUCCACCCCAGAGGGAAGCAUGCCCUUACCCCAGAGGUGAGGACACAGAGAUCCAGAGGCGGCGCUGGUGCCCUUCACUGGGGCCACACCACAGGGCCUUUCCUUCCUUUGUCAACCUUGCUCUGUGGGCCAGGGGAGCUCACUCAACCUCACUCUCUUUAAACCCUUCAUGCCAACCCAGAAUCUGGCUCUGCUCAUCCUUGCUACGCUAGAGUGGGCUUUACUGUUACUCAGAGGCUGACAAAAAUACUUGAGAAGAGUCACUUCCAGCACGACAGAAGGAGGAGGCUGACAAAUCAUCUUACCUAAAAGCAACUAUUAUGCCGGACAAAAGUGUCAAAAUAAUCCUUAUGGCACUCCCGAAAAUGGCCAAGUCUCUGGCUCAGCUCUGGCACUGAAGGUGGUCAGCCCAGACAAGGCAGGCACUGCAGAGGGGCUCACUGAUUCUGAGUGUGGUCGGUGAAAGUGGUGGUCCUGGGGGCAAGCAGACAGGGAAGGUGGCAGCUCCACCACCUGGGGCCGUGGUCAGUCACAUUCAGGCAAGCAGCAGGCUGACAGGUCCUUCCUUCCUGCCUGCCUUCCUUCCUUCCUUUUUUCCUUCCUUCCUUUUUUCCUUCCUUCCUUUUUUCCCUCCUUCCUUCCUUCCUUCCUCCUUUCUUCCUUCCUCCCUCCCUUUACAUUACAGGAGUUAAGAGUAAACCAUACUCCGGGCAACCAUCACCCCAAAAGGGAGACAACCAGACCUUCUGUGCCUCCCAAUGAAAGUCCACAUUCAACACCACCUACGAAGGAUUCUUACCAAAGACACCAAAACUGAACUCAGGCAACCCUCCAGAUAUAACUACCAAUUUGCAGAAAAUAAAAGGGAUAGAAGAACACAAAGAUGCAAUCAGCAAAAUUCAGACAGGACAAGCAAUAUUUUUUUCAAGAAGAAGAAGAAAAUUGAGGGAGUCUGGAAGAGAUGUAGAGUAAACUGGUAGAGUGAGACACUUAAGGGAUGCAUGAGUUCAGAACAAAGUGUAGACCUCGUUGGGAUCCCAGUUCAGGCAAGCAAAUCUUAAAAUGUUCAUGAGACUGUUGGAGGAAGGCAAACACAGAUAGCAUAGGUGUUGACAUUAAA
rnacentral:lncRNA from 1 species